GCCUGUGUGUUCUAGUGCUAUGAUUCUCGCUUCGGGUGCGAGAGGUCUCGAGUCCGAUUCUCAACUCAGCCCGCG
rnacentral:tRNA from 1 species